ACCUCGACACCUACGAGAGGCAGCAGUGGGGAAUAUUGCACAAUGGGGGAAACCCUGAUGCAGCGACGCCGCGUGGAGGAAGAAGGUCUUCGGAUUGUAAACUCCUGUUGUUGGGGAAAAAGAGGAUGGUACCCAACAAGGAAGUGACGGCUAACUACGUGCCUGCAGCCGCGGUAAUCUGAGCGGGCUGGCAAGGC
rnacentral:rRNA from 1 species